CAGGUCAAUGAAAUUGAUCUCCCCGUGCAGAAGCGGGGAUAAAGACAUAAGACGAGAAGACCCUGUGGAGCUUUAGACACUAAGGCAGACCAUGUUAAUAACCCCUAGACAAAGGCUAAAACAAGAUGACCCCUGCCCGCAUGUUUUUGGUUGGGGCGACCGUGGGGGAAAAAAUAACCCCCAUGCGGACCGGGAGGACUUCUCCUAGAAGCGAGAACCACAGUUCUAACUAACAGAACUUCUGACCUAUAAGAUCCGGCUGACGCCGAUCAACGGACCGAGUUACCCCAGGGAUAACAGCGCAAUCCCCUUUGAGAGCCCCCAUCGAUAAGAGGGUUUACGACCUCGAUGUUGGAUCAGGACAUCCUGAUGGUGCAGCCGCUAUUAAGGGUUCGUUUGUUCAACGAUUAAAGUCCUACGUGAUCUG
rnacentral:rRNA from 1 species